rnacentral:rRNA from 1 species
AGAGUUUGAUCCUGGCUCAGAGCGAACGCUGGCGGCAGGCUUAACACAUGCAAGUCGAGCGGGCGUAGCAAUACGUCAGCGGCAGACGGGUGAGUAACGCGUGGGAACAUACCUUUUGGUUCGGAACAACACAGGGAAACUUGUGCUAAUACCGGAUAAGCCCUUACGGGGAAAGAUUUAUCGCCGAAAGAUUGGCCCGCGUCUGAUUAGCUAGUUGGUGAGGUAACGGCUCACCAAGGCGACGAUCAGUAGCUGGUCUGAGAGGAUGAUCAGCCACAUUGGGACUGAGACACGGCCCAAACUCCUACGGGAGGCAGCAGUGGGGAAUAUUGGACAAUGGGCGCAAGCCUGAUCCAGCCAUGCCGCGUGAGUGAUGAAGGCCCUAGGGUUGUAAAGCUCUUUUGUGCGGGAAGAUAAUGACGGUACCGCAAGAAUAAGCCCCGGCUAACUUCGUGCCAGCAGCCGCGGUAAUACGAAGGGGGCUAGCGUUGCUCGGAAUCACUGGGCGUAAAGGGUGCGUAGGCGGGUUUUUAAGUCAGAGGUGAAAUCCUGGAGCUCAACUCCAGAACUGCCUUUGAUACUGAAGAUCUUGAGUUCGGGAGAGGUGAGUGGAACUGCGAGUGUAGAGGUGAAAUUCGUAGAUAUUCGCAAGAACACCAGUGGCGAAGGCGGCUCACUGGCCCGAUACUGACGCUGAGGCACGAAAGCGUGGGGAG